GUCUACGGCCAUACCACCCUGAACGCGCCCGAUCUCGUCUGAUCUCGGAAGCUAAGCAGGGUCGGGCCUGGUUAGUACUUGGAUGGGAGAAAUGGCCAUGACUUGGCGAUGUCCACU
rnacentral:rRNA from 1 species